rnacentral:rRNA from 1 species
CUAUACAUGACUCUGCGCAUAUCAAUAAGCGGAGGAAAAGAAACUAACAAGGAUUCCCUUAGUAACGGCGAGUGAAGCGGGAAGAGCUCAAAUUUGAAAUCUUCAAGGUUUUACCUUGACGAAUUGUAGUUUAAAGAAGUGUUUUCUGCUGAAGUUUUGGUAAAAGUUCUUUGGAAUAGGACAUCAUAGAGGGUGAGAAUCCCGUAUUUGACCAUUAUUUUCAGCUUUGUGAUACACUUUCAAAGAGUCGGAUUGUUUGGGAAUGCAGUCCAAAAUGGGUGGUAAAUUUCAUCUAAAGCUAAACAUUGGCGAGAGACCGAUAGCGAACAAGUACCGUGAGGGAAAGAUGAAAAGAACUUUGAAAAGAGAGUUAAACAGUACGUGAAAUUGUCAAAAGGGAAGCGUUUGACACCAGUGUUGUUUUCUCGAAAAUCAAUUAAAAAUGGCUCGAUUUUGUAUUGCUUGAGACCUUAAAAGCUCACUGUACAUUUUUCGUGUCUUUUUUAAUGCACUUUCUCGUUUAACAAGUCAACACUCAGUUUCUUUUGUUGUAAAAGGGUCAUUGGAAGGUGGCUUUCUUUUCGGAGAAAGUGUUUAUAGCCUUUGGCCUCUGCAAUCGGAGAGACUGAGGUCUGCAGCGUAGACUCUUCGGGGUUAGAUACAUUUGUGCUAAGUUAUAGCUUUUUAUAGACAACUUGUUGACUAUAAUUAGUCUUGUAGCUUACUCGCUUAUGCUAUUUUACCUACGCUUAGGAUGUUGAAGAUGUAGCACAUCAU